rnacentral:tRNA from 1 species
UUUAAAUAGUUUAAUAAAAAUAUUGGCUUGUGGAGCUUAAGAUAUACGAAAGUAUUUUAGAUAA